AACCUCAUUCUAGAUGAGAAUGGGCAUUGUUGAUCAUGGCGUCCAAAAAUAGUUAAUGUGGCUAAACUGUUGCAGUGGUGACAAUGAGACCUGUAACAUUU
rnacentral:snoRNA from 1 species